rnacentral:tRNA from 1 species
GCUUGGCUGACUCAUUUGGUAGAGUAUGCAACUCUUGAUCUCAGGGUCAUGAGUUCAAGCCUCAUGUUGGGUG